rnacentral:rRNA from 1 species
AAGUUGGGCACUCUAAGUUGACUGCCGGUGACAAACCGGAGGAAGGUGGGGAUGACGUCAAAUCAUCAUGCCCCUUAUGAUUUGGGCUACACACGUGCUACAAUGGACAAUACAAAGGGUAGCGAAACCGCGAGGUCAAGCAAAUCCCAUAAAGUUGUUCUCAGUUCGGAUUGUAGUCUGCAACUCGACUAUAUGAAGCUGGAAUCGCUAGUAAUCGUAGAUCAGCAUGCUACGGUGAAUACGUUCC